UCUACAUUGGCUGGAUUUACCGUGUACGAGCUGGACUGUUUUGGACUUAUCUGUUGGCGUUUAGACCUGGACCUACCGAGAACCAGAUUUGUGUACCGAACCCUACUAUCCUUGACCUAUCGGUAGGAAUUGGUUUGCCUACAAAUGAUUAUACAUAGUUUUGACUAAAAGGGAGUAGGAAUUGGUUUGCCUACAUGAGAGGAGAAAGUUAAAGCUUAUUACAGAUCAGCUGACGACCACCUGGGGACCUGUUCCACCACAGUUAAAGAUCACCUGACGACCACCUGGGGACCUGUUCCACCACAGUUAAAGAUCAGCUGACGACCACCUGGGGACCUGUUCCACCACAGUUAAAGAUCAGCUGACGACCAC
rnacentral:lncRNA from 1 species